rnacentral:lncRNA from 1 species
GCCAUCAUACAGUAAAUUGGGCCGCACGGUUUCAUUUGAAAAUUAAAUUGGGCUUGCUGCAUGGAAGAAGGGAGUUACUUCCUGUACCUCCCCAAUUCCAACCCCCACUCCCCAUUCCAUUUUUGCCCUUUGCUCUAUUUUUUCUAUUCCAAUUUUAUCCUUUAACAAAAAUUUAUAUUUAGAAAUAAAAUUUUAUAAUUUUAUUCUCCCACCCCCACAAAACCUAUUUAUUCUUUUUUUUUUUAUCUUCAUGCUUUCAUCUUUACGCUCUCUUCCCAGGAAUUCUUUGUUCUAUUUUUCCAGAAAUUCUUUUUCCCAUUCUUCUUGUAUUCCAAGUGAUAAUUGAGAUAUCGAUUUCUUCUGGAAGAAUUUGUCCUUCAAUUAUUAUAUCUCUUCAUUACAUUAGUGUGGUGGUGUUGUAUCCAACCUUUAAGCAGCGAUCCUCUUCGAGUCCAGGUUAGUAAAACCGUUAAAACGGAAGGCGACUUCCGUUUACCCUUAAACGGAUGUUGACAUCCGUUGACAGAUUCCCACAUCCGUUUAAGGGUUUUCUAGAUUAUUUUAGAUUAUGUUUUUGUUAGUUUUAUUUUUUAAGAUUUAUUUUUAUUAGUUUUAAUUUUUAAGAUUUGUUUUUAUUAGUUUCAUUUUUUAGGAUUUGUUUUUAUUGGUUUUAUUUCUUUAAGAUUUAUAUUUUAAUAUUUGUUUUUAUUAGUUUUAUUUUUUAGGAUUUGUUUUUAUUAGAUUUUUAUUUUAUUAGUUUUAUUUUUUAAGAUUUGUUUUUAUUAGUUUNAGUUUAUUUUUUAGGAUUUGUUUUUAUUAGUUUUAUUUUUUUAAGAUUUAUAUUUUAAGAUUUGUUUUUAUUAGUUUUAUUUUUUAGGAUUUGUUUUUAUUAGAUUUUUAUUUGAUUAGUUUUAUUUUUUAAGAUUUGUUUUUAUUAGUUUACUUUUUAUAUUAAUUUUUAGAUAUUUUAAUAAUGAAAUUUAUAUGUUUUGAUGUAUUAUUUUUAAAUAUAUUUUUAACGUAUAAAUGGGAGAGUGAGAGUUGCAGAGAGCGUCGAGUGUUUCAAAAGCUUUGGUGGGGGUGGGGGUGGGAAUAGGAAGGAGAGGAAUCUGAGUCUGUGUGUUUUGACUGAGGAAUUGUAAAAGAGUAGGUUAACUUUAGUAAAUAGGGGUAAAACGGUAAAAAUAAAAAAACAUAAAGGUUAAUUUUGUAUUUAAAAAAAAUCCAAAAAAAUUGGGGGGUGGGAGUUAGAAUUGGGGAGGUACAGGGAGUAACUCCCAUGGAAGAAUGGGUGCUGACAUAAAAAAAUGAAAAAGAGAUUUCUUUUUUUCCGCAACCCCAUAGUUAAAAGACC